GAUGAACGCUAGCGGCAGGCCUAAUACAUGCAAGUCGUACGGCAACACAGUUGCGAGCAAUCGCAACCGGUGGCGAGUGGCGCACGGGUGAGUAACGCGUAUGUAACCUACCCUUCUCCGGGACAUAACUCCGCGAAAGCGGUGCUAAUAUCCCAUACCAACUCAUCAAGACAUCUUCUUGAGUUGAAAGCAGCAAUGCGGUGAAGGAUGGGCAUGCGUCCCAUUAGCUGGUUGGUGAGGUAAUGGCCCACCAAGGCUACGAUGGGUAGGGGUUCUGAGAGGAAAGCCCCCCAACUGGUACUGAGACACGGACCAGACUCCUACGGGAGGCAGCAGUAAGGAAUAUUGGGCAAUGGUCGAAAGACUGACCCAGCCAUGCCGCGUGCAGGAUGAAGGCCCUAUGGGUUGUAAAGCACUUUCAGUGGGAAGAACGGGUCCGGCAAUACCCCGGAUCACUGACGUUACCCACAGAAGAAGCACCGGCUAACUCCGU
rnacentral:rRNA from 1 species